rnacentral:rRNA from 1 species
UAAUACGAAGGGGGCUAGCGUUGCUCGGAAUGACUGGGCGUAAAGGGCGCGUAGGCGGCUCAUACAGUCAGACGUGAAAUUCCCGGGCUCAACCUGGGGGCUGCGUUUGAGACGUAUGGACUUGAGUCCGGAAGAGGGUGGUGGAAUUCCCAGUGUAGAGGUGAAAUUCGUAGAUAUUGGGAAGAACACCGGUGGCGAAGGCGGCCACCUGGUCCGGCACUGACGCUGAGGCGCGAAAGCGUGGGGAGCAAACAGGAUUAGAUACCCUGGUAGUCCACGCCGUAAACGAUGUGUGCUGGAUGUUGGGCAGCCUGGCUGUUCAGUGUCGUAGCUAACGCGAUAAGCACACCGCCUGGGGAGUACGGCCGCAAGGUUG